rnacentral:lncRNA from 1 species
UCAUAGAUUCUCUAAAAAGAUUGUCAUUCAUAUAAUUGUGAAACUUGUUCUAGAGGUUUGGAAGUUUAGUUACUUGUCUUAAGUUUUUUUUUUCUUUUUUUUUGUCAGCAUUACUUGUCUUAAGUUAGCAGUUUGUUUCAAUGCUUGUAUGAUGCUCCGUAGUGGGUUCUAGUAUCCGGAGAUAUACCUGCUUUCUGCUAGUUUAGGUAACCACGGAAAGUUAUUUUAUCUGUUGGUGUUGUAUGAUCAAACCUUGUUCUUA